UACGUAGGUGGCAAGCGUUGUCCGGAUUUAUUGGGUUUAAAGGGUGCGUAGGCGGCUUUGUAAGUCAGUGGUGAAAUAUGGCAGCUCAACUGUCAGGGUGCCAUUGAUACUGCGGAGCUUGAGUACAGAUGAGGUAGGCGGAAUUAACGGUGUAGCGGUGAAAUGCUUAGAUAUCGUCAAGAACACCGAUAGCGAAGGCAGCUUACUGGGCUGUAACUGACGCUGAGGCACGAAAGUGUGGGGAUCAAACAGG
rnacentral:rRNA from 1 species